UACACCUGCAUCAAACAAACAGACCACUGGUAUAAAAAAAAGUUGAAGCUUUCUAAAUGAUGUAACAAAUUAUUGUUGUUUUAUUCACACAUGUUCCAG
rnacentral:misc_RNA from 1 species